GACGAACGCUGGCGGCGUGCUUAACACAUGCAAGUCGAACGGAAAGGCCCUGCUUUUGUGGGGUGCUCGAGUGGCGAACGGGUGAGUAACACGUGAGUAACCUGCCCUUGACUUUGGGAUAACUUCAGGAAACUGGGGCUAAUACCGGAUAGGAGCUCCUGCUGCAUGGUGGGGGUUGGAAAGUUUCGGCGGGUGGGGAUGGACUCGCGGCUUAUCAGCUUGUUGGUGGGGGAGUGGCUUACCAAGGCUUUGACGGGUAGCCGGCCUGAGAGGGUGACCGGCGACAUUGGGACUGCGAUACGGCCCAGACUCCUACGGGAGGCAGCAGUGGGGAAUAUUGCACAAUGGGCGGAAGCCUGAUGCAGCAACGCCGCGUGCGUGAUGACGGCCUUCGGGGUGUAAACCGCUGUCGCCUGUGACGAAGCGUGAGUGACGGUAAUGGGUAAAGAAGCACCGGCUAACUACGUG
rnacentral:rRNA from 1 species